GGCGUCUUCGGCGUCCGCAUUGUAAUCUCAAGAAGUGUUUUCCGCUUCGGACCAUGCCUAAGUCCCUUGGAAAAGGGCAUCAUAGAGGGUGAUAAUCCCGUACAUGGCAUGGAGCGCCCGAGGCUUUGUGAUACGCUUUCUAAGAGUCGAGAUGUUUGGGAAUGCAGCUCAAAAUGGGUGGUAAAUGCCAUCUAAGGCUAAAUAUUGGGGAGAGACCGAUAGCGAACAAGUACAGUGAUGGAAAGAUGAAAAGAACUUUGAAAAGAGAGUUAAACAGUACGUGAAAUUGCCAAAAGGGAAGGGUAGGAGGUCAGAGUUGCGUCUUGGGAUUCAGCCUUGCUUUUGCUUGGUGUUUUUCCCAAGUUGCAGGCCAACGUCGGUUUUGGGCACUGGAGAAGGGUGGAAGGAACGUGGCACCUCUCGGGGUGUGUUAUAGCCUUCAACUGGAUACAGCGACCGAGACCGAGGACAGCAGCGUACUCGCAAGAGCGGGCCUUCGGGCACCUUUACGCUUAGGGCGUUGGCAUAAUGGCCCUCUACCACC
rnacentral:rRNA from 1 species